UACGAAGGGGGCUAGCGUUGUUCGGAAUCACUGGGCGUAAAGGGCGCGUAGGCGGCUAUAUAAGUCGGGGGUGAAAGCCUGUGGCUCAACCACAGAAUUGCCUUCGAUACUGUAUGGCUUGAGACCGGAAGAGGUUGGUGGAACUCCGAGUGUAGAGGUGAAAUUCGUAGAUAUUCGGAAGAACACCAGUGGCGAAGGCGGCCAACUGGUCCGGCACUGACGCUGAGGUGCGAAAGCGUGGGGAGCAAACAGG
rnacentral:rRNA from 1 species